rnacentral:rRNA from 1 species
GAGUUUGAUCGUGGCUCAGGACGAACGCUGGCGGCGUGCCUAAUACAUGCAAGUCGAGCGAGGGUUUUCGGACCCUAGCGGCGGACGGGUGAGUAACACGUAGGCAACCUGCCUCUCAGACCGGGGAUAACAUAGGGAAACUUAUGCUAAUACCGGAUAGGUUUUGGAUUGCAUGAUCCGAAAAGAAAGAUGGCUUUUUGCUGUCACUGGGAGAUGGGCCUGCGGCGCAUUAGCUAGUUGGUGGGGUAACGGCCUACAAGGCGACGAUGCGUAGCCGACCUGAGAGGGUGACCGGCCACACUGGGACUGAGACA